UACAGAGGUGGCAAGCGUUGUUCGGAAUUACUGGGCGUAAAGGGCGCGUAGGCGGCCUUCUAAGUCAGACGUGAAAUCCCCCGGCUUAACCUGGGAACUGCGUCUGAUACUGGGGGGGCUUGAGUAUGGGAGAGGGAUGUAGAAUUCCAGGUGUAGCGGUGAAAUGCGUAGAUAUCUGGAGGAAUACCGGUGGCGAAGGCGGGUCUCUGGGCCGAUACUGACGCUGAGGAGCGAAAGCGUGGGGAGCGAACAGG
rnacentral:rRNA from 1 species